UAGACAGAUUAUUGUAUUCGACUGUAUUAACGAUAUGUAUUUGUAAGUACAGUAACGUAAAUAGCGCAAUUCAUGGUCUAUUCAGUUAUUUUUAAAUGGAAAGUGAAUCAAUUAACAUAAUAGACUCCU
rnacentral:pre_miRNA from 1 species